GUCGUAACAAGGUUUCCGUAGGUGAACCUGCGGAAGGAUCAUUCGCACUAUAUCCAACCAUUCAACGUGAACCAUCUCUGUGAGCAACUGGGUGGAGAUGUUUGGUUCUCUCUGAGAGCCACUUCCUCCAUCUGGGAGCUCGCGGGUGGCAGGGCAAGCUUGGCACCACAUCUCUUUGGAGUUGUGGCCUGCUCCAGGCUUGUUCCUGUUGCCAUUGUGUCUCUGAACCAUUUGUUUCCAGAGCUCUUUCGUUCUAGCCUUCCAAUGUGAGUUUUGCUCCUUGCACAUCUCACAACUUUCAGCGACGGAUAUCUCGGCUCAAGCAUCGAUGAAGGGCGCAGCGAAGUGUGAUAAUCAUUGUGAAUUGCAGAAUUCCGUGAACCAAUGGAUUCUUGAACGUGCAUUGCACUCUCGGGAUAUCCCUGGGAGUAUACCUGCUUCAGUGCUUGUGGAAUCCUCAUGCAUGUGUUGCUCUCCGAGCGAUGCAUGUGUCUUUGUGUGCCACAGCUUAGCAUUGCUUCGGCUCUGUGGAGCGAGUGGCACAUUCAGGUGUCUAGAUUGCCUUGGCAUCUACAACUUGUGAAUCAGCAACAGCUCUUUCCUCUUGUUGUGAUGUCUUCUUGGCUCUCUUCCACUUUCUUUCCUGCACAGCAUGAAGUCAGGUCAGCAAACCCGCUGAAUUUAAGCAUAUAAGUAGGCGGAGGAAAAGGAACUAAAUAGGAUUCCCUUAGUAAUGGCGAACGAACAGGGAUGAGCUCGGCUUGGAAACUGGGGCUUCGGCCUUGGAUUGUAGCCUCUAGACAUAGUACCAACGGAGGCGCAGGUGUAAGCCUCUUGGAAAAGAGCAUCAACGUGGGUGAGAAUCCUGUGUUUCAUCUGCAGUCCACCGUGCACGGUACAUGUUCUCAGAGUCGCGUACCUCGGAAUUGGUGCGUAAAGUGGGUGGUAAAUUUCAUCUAAAGCUAAAUAUAGGCUUGAGACCGAUAGCAAACAAGUACCAUGAGGGAAAGAUGAAAAGGACUUUGAAAAGAGAGUUAAAAGUGUUUGAAAUUGCUGAAAGGGAAGCGAAUGGAACCAGUCCUCUGGCUGAGAUUGGUGCAUGCUCCUGUGAUGCCCGGCUGCUUCAGCGCAAGCGUGGUAGUUGGAGUUGAGCGGCUGUGUGUGCUGUUUCUCAGCUUGUGAGUCAACUUCUGUUCAUGCUUGGGGAUAGCCUCUUUGUCAUGACGAUCUCCGCGGAGUGAGUCUUGUCUUUGUAGGGACUCAGGCGUGUACAGCUUGCUGACGAAAUGGUUCUCUUCGACCCGUCUUGAAACACGGACCAAGGAGUCUAGCACAUGUGCAAGUUCACAGGUGGCAAGCCUCUGGGCGCAAUGAAGGUGACAGCUGGGAUCUUUGCACCAGCAACCGACCGAUCAAUUGAGAGAAGUUUGAGUAUGAGCAUAUGUGUUAGGACCCGAAAGAUGGUGAACUAUGCGUGA
rnacentral:rRNA from 1 species